rnacentral:rRNA from 1 species
AUGGAUAGUGAUCUUAGCAUUAUAUUCUGGAACGUGCGUGGCCUCAAUUCGCAGGCCAAACACAUGGUAGUCCGCAGCGUGAUUUCCUCCGCUAGACCUUGUAUUGUGUGCCUUCAAGAAACUAAGCUUGAGUUGGUCUCCUCCUUGUUGGUUUCCGAGACGCUGGGGACUACCUUUGGUGAUUUGUUCUUCCUUCCCACGACUGGCACAUGCGGUGGCAUUCUACUCGCAUGGGACAACACCAAGAUUUAUCUUUCACAUCCCGAGAUUGGCUCCUACCAUGCCUCGGCCCUCGUGUCCCCCCUCUCGGGCAACCAACAUUGGUGGCUCUCGGGUGUCUAUGGUCCGCAGGCGGAUGUUGACAAGAUGGCAUUCCUCACUGAGCUCUAA